GUCACCUUGUUAGCCAGGAUGGUCUCGAUCUCCUGACCUCGUGAUCUACCUGCCUCGGCCUCCCGAAGUGCUGGGAUUUCAGGCGUGAGCCACUGCGCCCGGCCCUCCAUAAAAAGUCUUAAGCACAAAAUUAUGCUUGAAAAAAAAACCCUGUCUGUAUAAAAAAUACAAAAAUUAACCGUGCGGUAAUGGCACGUGCCUGUAAUCCCAGUUACACAGGAGGCUGAGGCACGGGAAUUGCUUGAACCUGGGAGACGGAAGUUGCGGUGAGCGGAGAUGGCACCACUGUACUCUAGCCUGGCCAACAGAGUGAGACUCUAUCUCAAAAAAAAAAAAAAGAAAAGAAAAGAAAAUCUUAGCAGGCUCUCCUGUGCAGAUGCUGCUGGUGCUGAGCUUUGUGUCUGGGGCAAAAAAGGUGAGGGCGGGCCCCGGUUGGUUUAGGAGAAGUGUUUACGAACAGAAUGGGCCCCAUGCUCCCGGCCUGAGGAAAUUCUUUCAUGAAAAAGAUUCUUCCGCAGCUUGGAGGGGGAUGGUCCAGCCGAUGCUCCUGUCCCUCUCUCAGCCCCAGGGGCAGAAGGGAAACAGUCAGCAGCACGGCCAUUGCAGAUGGUGCCCAAGGCGGGAAGGAUAGCUGCCGUCCUUCCUUGUUUGUCAUCACCUUGGUACUUUUGAAGAGUCCUUGUCAGAGAUGAGGUCUCGCUCUCUCAUCCGGACUGGAGUGCAAUCGUGGGAUCAUAGCUCACUGCGGUCUCCAACUCCUGGGCUCAAGCGACCCUCCCACCGCAGCCUCCUGAGCAGCUGGGACUACAGGUACACGCCACUGUGUCUGGCAAAAUUAGUUUUACUUUACUAAAAGGAAGCACGUAGGCCUGCUCUGGUCUUUGCUACUUGCAGUUUUUGUGUUAUAGAUUGUCGGACACUCGUGGUGAUUUAAUUUUGGAAGGGACCUUCUUUCUCACCCAGUUGGAUCCUUCCAGUUUCUAGAUGAAGACACUUGGUACCUGGAGGCCUUCUGACUUUUGGGUUAGAGCUGGCAUGGAGUCCAGGCACCUGCUCCUCUGACCACUUUCUACAGGCAUGGAUGCUCCUGGGACACUGCAGGGACAGAGCCGUCCCCAGCAAUGCAGAUUGACGGGGCAGGUUUCCAGUUGGGUGGGGCCGCAUCCCUCCCGGAGAUGUGAGGCAGGUUUGAGAUGAGUCUGCUCCCCUUCUGUCUGCUGCCUCUUUCUUUUUUUUUCUUUUCUUUUUGAGACGGAAUCUUGCUCUGUAGCCCAGGCUGAAGUGCAGUGGCACAAUCUCGGCUCACUGCAAGCUCUGCCUCCUGGGU